UUUAUCAGGCAAUUUAGCUUGUAGCUCCUACCUCGUGAGUGGAUAACACUUAUUUUUCAAAAAUAAGUCUUCUUUAAAUUUUAAAGUUAUUUAUUUUAUAAAGUUGACUUCAUAGCAUGAUUUUCAGAAUAAAAUGGAUUUUAUUAUCAAUUUCUUUUAAAGUUAAAUUCAGUUCAGUUAAGUUAUUUUAGUAGCAUGUUAUAUUCUUAUUUCAUGUUUCAGUAUAGUUAAAGUUAUUUCUAAAAAUCACCAGAAAGUACCCAGGUGAUUUUACCCCAAUUUGCACUGAUGUGAAUGUGUUUUCACAGUAUAUGACUAGUUAUAGUGAUUUUACCCGCUCUGCACUAUCGUGAAUGUGUUUCCAUAAUGUAUGACCAAAUUAUCAGAGGUCUUUGGGACCCACUCUCGUACACACAUAGGCUUUGGGCCGUGUAUUAGGGUGAUUAGCCUUUGGGGCAGCUCUGCGUACGUAUGACCAGAUUCUCAGAUUAUCAGAUUUUAAUGACUUUGCCUUGUACAUCGAGAUUACUCUGUACAUGAGUAAGGCUAUUCAUUGGAUACUCUUUGUGGUGUGAUUUUUCAGUAUUUAUUCAGUUCUCAGAUUUCAAAUUAUGAAAUUCAGUUAAUUCAAUUUUCAAAAUAAAGCUUUCAACUUAUAGUAUUGAGCAGCAGCAAUAUUUCAUAGAUUUUAAUGAAUAUCAAAUUCCUUAUAUUUGUUAUACCUUACAGAUACUUAUCUAGAAUUUAGAACAAAUAGUUUUAUAAUGUAAUCAUGUUAUAGUUUUUAAAAGUAUUACUAGAUUCAGAAAUUUUCAAGGAUUUAAUAAAGUUAACAUUUUUAGAAAAUAUGCAUAAAUGGAAAAAGUUUACUUAAUUGCAAAUCAUCCACUCAAUGAGUUACGAACUCAUAUUUUUGUUAUAUUUUUCCUAUCAGGAGACCGUUAAUUUUGAGAUACUUGGAAAAGUCUGCUGAAACAAAAGAGACCGUUUCAUAGUAUGUAAUGAAUUGUUGGGGGACUCGUGUUUAUUAAGUACUUUGUCUAAUAUUUGGGAUGUCAUGCACUUUGUAGAAGGAUUUGUAAUUAAUGUAAUGCUUGCAUGUAGACAUGAUGUUGUUGUAGAAGCACUCAGUCGAAUUUUGUUAUAUUUUGUUUUAGUUGCGGUGGUAUUAGUGGAAGUGGUGGCUUCCAAAACUUUUGGUUUGAAUGUCUAUUUGAGGUUUUGAUCAUGUUUCAGGUUGGUUUUGUCCAUUUUUAAGGGGAAACUCUGUUAAAAUUUUCAUAAAAUUAUAGUACAGUCAAAUAGGUCGAGUUUGCCUUGGUCGUGAGUCCGACAUUUAACUGGCAUCUACCAUCGGCGCACGACACAUGUCGAGUUAAUUAGGUUGAGUCGGGACAGGUCGUGUCAGUUGCUCCAUGCAGCAUGGAGUUAAUGCUACAUGGGGACAUUCUCCAUGCAGCACAGGUCUCUCAUUCUCACAUUGAGCUCUAGUCCUUCUCUCAGGUCACACACCAUACAUAUGUAUUCUCCAUGCAGCCUACUAUGGUCAUUCAGAUUGCCUACAGCAGAUUCUUUCUGCUACUCAUUCUACUCCAAUUGCGCAAUCGUGGUGACUAUUUCUUCCAUGUGUUGUCUUAUCUAAAUUUAUGACCCCAAUGCUUGUCUAUUAAAAAUGAAGUGCUAAUUCUUGUGCUCAAACGGGAGGUCAAGUGACUUUCGAGAUUUGUUAACAUAAGGGAUGGAAGAGGUGCAACCGCACUGCAUUUGGUAGGUCGUCAAAGGCGACAUGAUUGUGUUCGCGUUCUAUUGAGCAGUGGGGCUUCUGCGUCUACCUUUACUGGUGGAUAUAGGUGUAAAUUUAAUAUAGUUCUUUUAGCAUUUUGUCGCAUUCAUUAGUUAUAAUGACAGAUAAUCUUUGCAACUACUCGUGGAGUACACCUCUUCGUUUGGCUGCACGGGGUGGUUCUUUGGACUGUGUAUGGGAUUACUUAGGAUGCUAAUCAUCUUCAAAGAGAUUUCUCUGGUUCUUGUUGCAGGUAAAGAUGGAUACCGCCACCUCUACUAACAUUAAAAGGACCAGAAGAUGAAAAGGAGUCUAAGAACACUUGUGCUGCUGGGAAGAGCAAGAACCAACACAUCUCCAGUUGUGCGGCUCUUUCACCAUCUUAACAUGGUUAUAUUCAUUCAUACUCACAAUCUGUUAGAAGUGAAUCAAAGGAAAUUGGAGGUUGAAACUAGGCUUCUGAAGAGUUAUCUAGAUAAUUAUUCUGCAAGUUAAGAGGAGGUUUUAGUACAACUUCCAGCCAAAUCCAUCAUUUUACUCUCUCUCCAUGGAGAAUUCAUAUUUGAGAGCCCUUUUUAUAUAAUCCUAAGGUUAAAUCUCUGCUUAUUUAAUUGUAUUCCUAAUGUUUCUACUGCAAGUUUAGAAGAAAUUGACUGCUGCUAGAUUGGCUGCUUUUUUAAAAAUUGUCUUGUAUGUCCGUUCAACACCCACCGUACACUUAUAUUUAA